rnacentral:rRNA from 1 species
UUGAACGCUGGCGGCAGGCCUAACCCAUGCAAGUCGAGCGGUAGAGAGAAGCUUGCUUCUCUUGAGAGCGGCGGACGGGUGAGUAAUGCCUAGGAAUCUGCCUGGUAGUGGGGGAUAACGUUCGGAGACGGACGCUAAUACCGCAUACGUCCUACGGGAGAAAGCAGGGGACCUUUGGGCCUUGCGCUAUCAGAUGAGCCUAGGUCGGAUUAGCUAGUUGGUGGGGUAAUGGCUCACCAAGGCGACGAUCCGUAACUGGUCUGAGAGGAUGAUCAGUCACACUGGAACUGAGACACGGUCCAGACUCCUACGGGAGGCAGCAGUGGGGAAUAUUGGACAAUGGGCGAAAGCCUGAUCCAGCCAUGCCGCGUGUGUGAAGAAGGUCUUCGGAUUGUAAAGCACUUUAAGUUGGGAGGAAGGGCAGUUGCCUAAUACGUAACUGUUUUGACGUUACCGACAGAAUAAGCACCGGCUAACUCUGUG